UGGGGAAUUUUGGACAAUGGGCGAAAGCCUGAUCCAGCAAUGCCGCGUGUGUGAAGAAGGCCUUCGGGUUGUAAAGCACUUUUGUCCGGAAAGAAAUCCUUGGCUCUAAUACAGUCGGGGGAUGACGGUACCAGAAGAAUAAGCACCGGCUAACUACGUGCCAGCAGCCGCGGUAAUACGUAGGGUGCAAGCGUUAAUCGGAAUUACUGGGCGUAAAGCGUGCGCAGGCGGUUUGCUAAGACCGAUGUGAAAUCCCGGGCUCAACCUGGGAACUGCAUUGGUGACUGGCAGGGCUAGAGUAUGGCAGAGGGGGGUAGAAUUCCACGUGUAGCAGUGAAAUGCGUAGAGAUGUGGAGGAAUACCGAUGGCGAAGGCAGCCCCUGGGCCAAUACUGACGCUCAUGCACGAAAGCGUGGGGAGCAAACAGGAUUAGAUACCCUGGUAGUCCACGCCCUAAACGAUGUCAACUAGUUGUUGGGGAUUC
rnacentral:rRNA from 1 species